AUGGUCUGUGUCAGGGCGAUCCCAUCUCCCCAUCUCUUCCUGAUCGUAGCAGACCUGCUCCAACAGCUUAUCCUCAAAACACCCCACGCCUCGCUCCAUCACCCUCUCUUCUCUCAUCUACCACCCACCGUUUUACAGUACGCAGACGAUACUCUGAUCGUUGCCGCCGCCUCAACUGAUGCCGCUGCCGCUUUAAAAGGAAUACUAGACAGCUUCGCCAACGCCACUGGCUUAGCCAUAAACUUCUCCAAAACGACGAUCGCCACUCUCCACUUGGACGACGCUGCUGCUAACGACGCCGCCCUUGCCAUGGGUUGCUCUCGCGCCUCCUUCCCCCAAACCUACCUCGGGCUCCCUCUCUCCCCUACGAAACCUCCCUCCAAUGCCUUCGACCCCAUC
rnacentral:rRNA from 1 species